rnacentral:rRNA from 1 species
UCACCGCCGCCAGCGCCACAGCCUCCAAACCCUCGAUCUCCCGCAUCGGAGCUCCCUGCCCCCAACCCCCCACCCCCACCCAACCAUGGCGGACCGCGGCGGCGAGCGUGGUGGCGACCGCGGAGGCGAGCGCGGCGGGUUCGGCCGCGGCUUCGGGCGCGGCGGGCGCGGGGACCGUGGCGGGCGCCGCGGCGGCCGUCGUGGCCCUCGCCAGGAGGAGGAGAAGUGGGUGCCCGUCACCAAACUCGGCCGCCUCGUCAAGGAGGGCCGCUUCACCAAGAUGGAGGAGCUCUACCUCCACUCGCUACCCAUCAAGGAGCACCAGAUCGUGGAGCAGCUCUGCCCGGGGCUCAAGGACGAGGUGAUGAAGAUCACCCCCGUGCAGAAGCAGACCCGCGCCGGCCAGCGGACCCGCUUCAAGGCGUUCGUCGUCGUCGGCGACAGCAACGGCCACGUCGGGCUCGGCGUCAAGUGCGCCAAGGAGGUGGCCACGGCCAUCCGCGGCGCCAUCAUCCUCGCAAAGCUCUCCAUCGUGCCCGUUAGGAGGGGCUACUGGGGGAACAAGAUCGGCCUGCCCCACACCGUGCCCUGCAAGGUCACCGGCAAGUGCGGCUCUGUCACCGUGCGCAUGGUGCCCGCCCCGAGGGGUUCUGGAAUCGUCGCCGCGCGCGUCCCCAAGAAGGUGCUCCAGUUCGCUGGUAUUGAUGACGUCUUCACUUCCUCGCGUGGAUCCACCAAGACCCUCGGCAACUUCGUCAAGGCAACCUUCGACUGCCUGAUGAAGACCUAUGGAUUCCUCACCCCUGACUUCUGGAGGGAGACGACCUUCACCAAGGCACCGUACCAGGAGUUCACUGACAUUUUGGCGAAGCCGACGAAGGCCCUGAUGCUUGAUGCACCAGCCGAGAAGAUAGAAGCUUAGGAUGAUGUCUCUGUUUGCCGUCAAGUGUUGGUUUGUGGAACUAUGCUACUCUCUUUUAUCGUCAAUGGACGCUACAUAAUUAUGGCAAUCGAUCUUUUUUAUCUAUAGAUGCUUGGCUUCUACCUAUGCUGCUUUGUGUUGUUGAUGUUGUCCUCUGC